rnacentral:lncRNA from 1 species
UUAAGUCUGAGAUAAAAUUUAUACUCUAUAUGAUUAAUGGUAUAAAUUUCGAUCAAACAACAGAAAAUAAAAGGUUUGGCCCCUAAUUACAAGACAUACCAUAAAUUUGACCCCUAAUUACAUGACAUACUAAAAUAAGUAUCCUAAAUACACAAGACAAUAAGUGGGUGUAUCUGAGAUACACGAAGCUCGCUAAGACACACAAUCAAAAUUUCAGGCCUUUCAUCAUCAAAGUUGCUGUCGCACUUCGUUUCUAGUCGCCCGAUGAAUCAUGAUGUCCCCAGCCCCAUUCCUCUUCAUCUUCUACUUUUCAGCUUCUAUAUGCCACCAUCACUAGAAAAAACCAUCAAUAGAACACCACCAAACAAACCUCACUCACCACCACGUAGCUAAUCACUAGCCAAUCAUCAUCACUAUUGGAAUUUGAUUCAUCCAUCAUAUCUAAGGCAAAUCUGAUUUCUCCAUCCAUCAUCAUCAAAAAUUAAUUCUUUUCUCUAUCUACCACGAGAUCCACCACCAUUGGAGCAGUCUUCCCUAUGAUUGACCAAUUUGAUUCCUCUCUCUACUAUCAUCGGAUGGCGAUUGAGCUUGAGCCAAAUAUGAAUACUCCGACAAGCCCAAGCUAAAUCUGAGUAUUUUUGUAUUUGAAUGGUUAGCAAUAACAGUUUAUCUUUUAAUUUUUGUGACUUUGUGAUCUUUUAUGUAUUUUUGUGAUAUGAAAAUUUGUGUAUCUCUAUGAUUUUUGAAAGUGAAUCACAGACGCACAGAUAGAAUACAUACAUCAAAGUCAUCUUAGUUAUUUUGAUUCUAGAUAUAUGAAAUUGAUAGCAUAUACAUGGAACUGAGAUUAGAUACACAGUCUCAGAUACACAGUCCUAGAUACACAAUCUCAAAUAUACGCAAGCCUAUGUAUCCUAAGAUACACGCUAUAGACACGUAAUUUCCCCCCUCUCAAAAGUCAAUUUCACCCAUUUAACCCACCAUAACAUGCACCCCACCCAAUUCCAUAAUUCCUUAAAAAACAGACAAAAAAUAAUAAAUUUACAACAAAUUCAUAAUGACUUUGGACACCUCACCU